GAUGAACGCUGGCGGCGUGCCUAAUACAUGCAAGUCGUGCGGAAAGGCCACUUCGGUGGUACUCGAGCGGCGGACGGCAGAGUAACGCGUAGGAACAUACCCCCAAACUGAGGCAUAACUGCUCGAAAGAGCAGCUAAUACCGCAUGUGAUCUUCGGAUUAAAGCUUCGGCGGUUUGGGAAUGGCCUGCGUCCGAUUAGCUAGUUGGUGAGGUAAAUGCUCACCAAGGCUUCGAUCGGUAGCUGGUCUGAGAGGAUGAUCAGCCUGACUGGAACUGAGAACGGUCCAGACUCCUACGGGAGGCAGCAGUAGGGAAUUUUCCACAAUGGGCGAAAGCCUGAUGGAGCAACGCCGCGUGCAGGAUGAAUGCCUUCGGGUUGUAAACUGCUUUUAUAGUGAAGAAUAUGACGGUAACUAAUGAAUAAGGGUCGGCUAACUAACGUGCCAGCAGCCGCGGUAAU
rnacentral:rRNA from 1 species